rnacentral:rRNA from 1 species
AACGAACGCUGGCGGCAUGCCUAACACAUGCAAGUCGAACGAGACCUUCGGGUCUAGUGGCGCACGGGUGCGUAACGCGUGGGAACCUGCACUUAGGUUCGGAAUAACUCCCCGAAAGGGGUGCUAAUACCGGAUCAUGUCUUCGGACCAAAGAUUUAUCGCCUUUGGAUGGGCCCGCGUUGGAUUAGCUAGUUGGUAGGGUAAAGGCUACCAAGGCGACGCUUCAUAGCUGGUCUGAGAGGAUGAUCAGCCACACCGGGACUGAGACACCGCCCAGACUCCUACGGGAGGCAGCAGUGGGGAAUAUUGGACAGUGGGCGAAAGCCUGAUCCAGCAAUGCCGCGUGAGUGAUGAAGGCCUUAGGGUUGUAAAGCUCUUUUACCCGGGAUGAUAAUGACAGUACCGGGAGAAUAAGCUCCGGCUAACUCCGUG